UAGAAAGAGAAAUAAUAAAAAAUUGGAUUUGUAUCUAAAUUUUCACUUCUCUGCUAGAAGAACACCAAAAUCCAUCUGUUGUACUUCUUUCUUGGUCUUCUACAACGCAUCUCUCAUCUUAAUCUUCUUCUCUUCAACUUUGAAUUGAACUCUACCUGAAAAGGUCAGUGCAAGAGGAUUUGCUGCGGCUUGAAACCUCUCUUAAGAUCUCAGCCACCCAAACCCGUGGAAUCUCUAUCUGGAUCUGAUGCAAGAACUGAAUCCCUGGGUUGACAGGACGAAAGAUGAUCAGCAGUGGUUUGACAAACAGAAUCCCUCAACUCUAAGGUUUAUUCUUUAAGAAGAAGGAAAAUAAAAAAAGAGCUUACUACCUUUUCUUGGCCUGUCCAAUCUACCUCUAACUAAAGAGUAGAUUAUAGGAGUCAACUUUAUAAUUUUCCUCUUACCUUAACAUAAGGACCUGUCCAAAAUUUAGUUAUUGGUCAAUUUAUUUAAUAGUUACUUUUCAAGUUCUUUAAUGAUGGAUUGCAGUAUGUUAAAAAACCUUCUGGUGUAUUAUUUCUUUUUGUUAUUAUAUCUUCAAGUUUAUGACUUGAAAGUUUAUUCUGAAUAGCUUUUUUAUGCUUCUUUGCCAA